ensembl:snoRNA
UUGUACAUGAAAAUGUCUCUUCCUCAUUCCUUUAGGAGCAGAAGUAUCCGUCGUAUGCUACAUUGAAAGUUCUCAGGGCUGGCAGUCUAAUAAUAGAAGUUGAGUACUAGUGUAUGUCUCCUACAUAA